rnacentral:rRNA from 1 species
UACGGAGGGUGCAAGCGUUGUCCGGAUUUAUUGGGUUUAAAGGGUGCGUAGGUGGCCUAUUAAGUCAGUGGUGAAAUUUUGCAGCUUAACUGUAAAACUGCCAUUGAUACUGGUAGGCUUGAGUAUUGUAGAGGCAGGCGGAAUUUAUGAUGUAGCGGUGAAAUGCAUAGAUAUCAUAAAGAACACCGAUAGCGAAGGCAGCUUGCUAAGCAGUAACUGACACUAAUGCACGAAAGCGUGGGUAGCGAACAGG